rnacentral:rRNA from 1 species
UACGUAGGGUGCAAGCGUUGUCCGGAAUUAUUGGGCGUAAAGAGCUCGUAGGCGGUUUGUUACGUCGGCUGUGAAACCUAGGGCUCAACUCUGGCUUGCAGCCGAUACGGGCAAACUAGAAUUCGGUAGGGGAGACUGGAAUUCCUGGUGUAGCGGUGAAAUGCGCAGAUAUCAGGAGGAACACCGGUGGCGAAGGCGGGUCUCUGGGCCGAUACUGACGCUGAGGAGCGAAAGCGUGGGGAGCGAACAGG